UGGCUGCGCUGUGCUGAGGUAGUAAGUUGUGUUGUUGUGGGGGUGGGAUACUACAGCCCCUCAACUGGAGAUACAACGAUACAACUUACUGCCUUCCACAACCCA
rnacentral:pre_miRNA from 1 species